rnacentral:rRNA from 1 species
UAGAGUUUGAUCCUGGCUCAGAUUGAACGCUGGCGGCAGGCCUAACACAUGCAAGUCGAGCGGAAGAAGGGGGCUUGCUCCCGGAUUCAGCGGCGGACGGGUGAGUAACGCGUAGGAAUCUACCUAGUAGUGGGGGAUAACGUCUCGAAAGGGACGCUAAUACCGCAUACGUUCUGAGGAAGAAAGCAGGGGAUCGCAAGACCUUGCGCUAUUAGAUGAGCCUGCGUCCGAUUAGCUAGUUGGUAGGGUAAAGGCCUACCAAGGCGACGAUCGGUAACUGGUCUGAGAGGAUGAUCAGUCACACUGGAACUGAGACACGGUCCAGACUCCUACGGGAGGCAGCAGUGGGGAAUAUUGGACAAUGGGGGCAACCCUGAUCCAGCCAUGCCGCGUGUGUGAAGAAGGCCUUCGGGUUGUAAAGCACUUUAAGCGGGGAGGAAGGCUCUAUAU